AUUGAACGCUGGCGGCAGGCCUAACACAUGCAAGUCGCACGAGAGGAGGACGGGUGAGUAAUGUCUGGGAAACUGCCUGAUGGAGGGGGAUAACUACUGGAAACGGUAGCUAAUACCGCAUACCAUCAGAUGUGCCCAAGUGGGAUUAGCUUGUGGGGGGGGUAAAGGAUCACAAAGGCGACGAUCCCUAGCUGGUCUGAGAGGAUGACCAUCCACACUGGGAAUGAGACACGGUCCAGAUUCCUACGGGAGGCAGCAGUGGGGAAUAUUGCACAAUGGGCGCAAGCCUGAGGCAGCCAUGCCGCGUGUAUGAAGAAGGCCUUCGGGUUGUAAAGUACUUUCAGCGGGGAGGCGUUACCCGCAGAAGAAGCACCGGCUAACUCCGUGCCAGCAGCCGCGGUAAUUC
rnacentral:rRNA from 1 species